GCGUCGGGGGUAUAGUGGUUAGCAUAGCUGCCUUCCAAGCAGUUAGCCCGGGUUCGAUUCCCGGCCGACGCA
rnacentral:tRNA from 1 species